rnacentral:rRNA from 1 species
UACGUAGGGUGCAAGCGUUGUCCGGAAUUAUUGGGCGUAAAGAGCUCGUAGGCGGUCUGUCGCGUCGGCUGUGAAAACUUGGGGCUCAACCCCAAGCCUGCAGUCGAUACGGGCAGACUAGAGUCCGGCAGGGGAGACUGGAAUUCUCGGUGUAGCGGUGAAAUGCGUAGAUAUCGAGAGGAACACCUGCGGCGAAGGCGGGUUGCUGGGCUGACACUGACGCUGAGGCGCGAAAGCGUGGGGAGCAAACAGG